AGCGAACGCUGGCGGCAGGCCUAACACAUGCAAGUCGAACGGAUCCUUCGGGAUUAGUGGCGGACGGGUGAGUAACACGUGGGAACGUGCCCUUUGGUUCGGAACAACUCAGGGAAACUUGAGCUAAUACCGGAUGUGCCCUUCGGGGGAAAGAUCUAUCGCCAUUGGAGCGGCCCGCGUCUGAUUAGCUAGUUGGUGAGGUAACGGCCCACCAAGGCGACGAUCAGUAGCUGGUCUGAGAGGAUGAUCAGCCACACUGGGACUGAGACACGGCCCAGACUCCUACGGGAGGCAGCAGUGGGGAAUCUUGCGCAAUGGGCGAAAGCCUGACGCAGCCAUGCCGCGUGAAUGAUGAAGGUCUUAGGAUUGUAAAAUUCUUUCAGCGGGGACGAUAAUGACGGUACCCGCAGAAGAAGCUCCGGCUAACUUCGUG
rnacentral:rRNA from 1 species